rnacentral:ribozyme from 12 species
GAAGAAAAAAAAGAAGAAAAGAAAAAAAGAUAGAUUUACAAGCUUCCUUCCCGCUCCCGCAAGAGUAGGGUUUAUUUACUUAUGGUGGUUUUGUCUAUUUACAACGCAAUAUAUCUUUUGUGUGUUUUGUUUUUACAAACACCAAGAGAGAGACGGGAAGGU